rnacentral:misc_RNA from 1 species
UUCAACUCACAAAAGAUGAAGAAAUUAUCAAAGAAUACUUUAACAAAAGUAAAAUAGGUACUAUGGGCGCCAGAAUCACCUACAGUUCACAUAUUCAACACCAACUUGAGCCCAAGUGGGCUCAAUUCUUUGUGUAGAAGGCCACUAUCAAACAUUUCUUUCAACAAACUUGUUGAUUUUGCUUUUAAAACAUCUACUGUAAUAAUCAUCUGAUGAAUUUACAGGACUGAAAAAACAUAAUAACACGCCAGAAUAGAAAUUUUGUUUUCAGUUUUGAUAACCCAUCAUGAGCAUUUUAACUAGUCUAUUCUUUAAUUUUUUAAAUGGCAAGUUAUGAUAGCUUUUACAAAAUCCCUUCCACUCAAUAGCAAUCAACAUCUGCAAACCAUCGAGAAAUUACUUUGGGCCAAUGUCCUUAAGAGCACAGAUCUGCUCCUCCCCCAUUGAAGACAUGACUGUCACAACAAGAUCUUUUCCCUCAGCAAAACCAUCCUUGAUCUGAGACAGAAGAUUCUCAUCAGUUGGGAGCCUCAGGUCAUCUUUUGUGUUCCCAUUUUCAGUAAGCAAACUCACAAAUCCAUCCUCAGAA